rnacentral:rRNA from 1 species
UAAUUUUAUUAUUAUUUUUUAUAUUUUAUUUUAUAAUUUAUAAGUUUUAAUAGGAAAAAUUUAAUGGGAUAAUCUUUUAAUUUUAAUUUUAUAAAUUUUGUCAAUUAUUAAUAUUUUGUAUAAUUUAAAUUGUUAAUCAUAUAGAAGUUAAUAUUUUUUUAUUUUAUUAAUAAAAUUUUAUAAUUUUUAAUUUUUAUAUUAAAAUUUUAAAUUUAAUUGUUAAUUUUAAUUAAUAAUGAUUAAAUUAGUAAAUAAAAUAUUCAUUUAAUAUGAAAAUUUAAGGUUAAAAUAAGGAAUUCGGCAAAUUAAAAUUUUUCGCCUGUUUAUUAAAAACAUGUCUUUUUGAUUAUAAUUUAAGGUUUAAUCUGCUCAAUGAUUAAUUAAAUAGCCGCAGUAUUUUGACUGUGCAAAGGUAGCAUGAUAAUUAGUUUGUUAAUUGUGAACUUGUAUGAAUGAUUGGACGAGAAAAUUUCUGUCUCUUUUUAAUUUUUAUUUAAUUUAACUUUUAAGUUAAAAGGCUUAAAUUUAUAUAAAAGACGAGAAGACCCCAUAGAGUUUAAUUUUAGAUAGUAUUUAGAAUAAAUUUAUAAAUAAUAAAAAUUGGUUGGGGUGACUUAAAGAUUUAAUUAACUCUUUAAAUUAAGAUCAUAGAUUGAUGAAUUUUAAAUCUGAAAAUUUUCAAUUUUAAAUUAAGUUACCUUGGGGAUAACAGCGUAAUUUCUUUUAGAGUUCUUAUCGAAUGAGAAGAUUGCGACCUCGAUGUUGGAUUAAAGUUAAAUUAAGGCGCAGAAGUCUUAUAUUUAAGUCUGUUCGA